GGCGUAAAGCGCUACGUAGGCGGAUUCAGAAAGUUGCGGGGUGAAAUCCCCGGGGCUCAACCUCGGAACUGCCUUCAAAACUAUUGGUCUUGAGUUCGAGAGAGGUGAGUGGAAUUCCGAGUGUAGAGGUGAAAUUCGUAGAUAUUCGGAGGAACACCAGUGGCGAAGGCGGCUCACUGGCUCGAUACUGACGCUGAGGUGCGAAAGCGUGGGGAGCAAACAGGAUUAGAU
rnacentral:rRNA from 1 species